rnacentral:rRNA from 1 species
CACGGGGUUGCGAGCGUUGUCCGGAAUUACUAGGCGUAAAGGGCAGGCAGGCGGAUCCAUAAGUUUAUCGUUUAAGGCGUCGGCUUAACCGGCGUAGGGCGGUAGAUACUGUGGAUCUGGAAUGCGGUUGGGGAAGACAGAAUUCCUGGUGUAGCGGUGGAAUGCGCAGAGAUCAGGAGGAAUACCGAAGGCGAAGGCAGUCUUCCAAGCCGUUAUUGACGCUCAACUGCGAAGGUGUGGGUAUCAAACAGGAUUAGAUACCCUGGUAGUACCUGA